rnacentral:rRNA from 1 species
ACGCACGCUGGCGGCGUGCUUAACACCUGCAAGUCGAACGGAAAGGCCCCUUUGGGGGUACUCGAGUGGCGAACGGGUGAGUAACACGUGAGUAACCUGCCCUUGACUUCGGGAUAACUUCAGGAAACUGGGGCUAAUACCGGAUAGGAAUCCUUGCUGCAUGGUGGGGGUUGGAAAGCUUCGGCGGUUUUGGAUGGACUCGCGGCUUAUCAGCUUGUUGGUGGGGUAGUGGCUUACCAAGGCCUUGACGGGUAGCCGGCCUGAGAGGGCGACCGGCCACAUUGGGACUGAGAUACGGCCCAGACUCCUACGGGAGGCAGCAGUGGGGAAUAUUGCACAAUGGGCGGAAGCCUGAUGCAGCAACGCCGCGUGCGGGAUGACGGCCUUCGGGUUGUAAACCGCUUUCAGCAGGGGCGAAGCUUGUGGUGACGGUACCUGCAGAAGAAGCACCGGCUAACUACGUG